UACAGAGGUCCCGAGCGUUGUUCGGAUUCAUUGGGCGUAAAGGGUGCGUAGGUGGCGCCGUAAGUGGGGUGUGAAAUCCCGGGGCUUAACCCCGGGACUGCAUUCCAUACUGCGGUGCUUGAGGACUGGAGAGGAGACUGGAAUUUCCGGUGGAGCGGUGAAAUGCAUUGAGAUCGGAAAGAACACCAACGGCGAAAGCACUCUGCUGGGCCGACACUGACACUGAGAGACGAAAGCUAGGGGAGCAAAUGGG
rnacentral:rRNA from 1 species